CACAUGCAAGUCGAACGAAGCCUUCGGGCUUAGUGGCGGACGGGUUAGUAACGCGUGGGAACGUGCCCUUCACUACGGAAUAGUCCUGGGAAACUGGGUUUAAUACCGUAUACGCCCUUCGGGGGAAAGAUUUAUCGGUGAAGGAUCGGCCCGCGUUAGAUUAGAUAGUUGGUGGGGUAAUGGCCUACCAAGUCUACGAUCUAUAGCUGGUUUUAGAGGAUGAUCAGCAACACUGGGACUGAGACACGGCCCAG
rnacentral:rRNA from 1 species